rnacentral:tRNA from 1 species
AGUUAAUGAACUUGUUAAAGUAUAUAUCUUGAAAAUAUAAAAAAGAGGAAUUUAGCCUCUAUUAACUU